GUAAAUCUUCUGCUUCAGAGACUUUGUAACCAGACCCGGGUUCAGCUGCUUGCUGCUUGAAAGCCACACAUAAGGGGUGAAGUUUGGUGGAAAAGCAGGUUUGAUCAGAGAGCCAGCAAACUAAGAAGAUGAGAGUAUACAGGAUGCAAUGAAAGAUACAUCAACACCGAUUCAGAAGAAAUGAAAACAAAGCAAUUAGUCACAAUAAUAUAACACAAUUCUACAUCAUGGAAAAUUUGGAGCUGGAAACGUGGCAGAGACAUCAGUUCUUCAGCAGCAGAUUGACAAUGAAAAAAGUGUUUAUAUUAUGAAUUUCCCUGUUAUAUAAUGGAAGAUAAUUUAAGGUAAGUCAUAUUCUUCAUUAUUACUUUAGUACCUUUAAAAAUUAAAAUGAUUUGUAAUAUAAUGAAAAAGAAAA